GGCUGACUCUGGGAGCCAGUGAGAUCUCGAGCCUGGUCUUGCCUGGCUGCUGUAGGGAGGACUGCUGGUUCCUGCAGGUUUCUGAAGUGGCAGAGUCUGGGGCGCUCUGAGGGUGCUGUGUGGCUGCUGGACCAUUAUGGAAGGCCAUUCCUGUAACCGACCAUACUUUUUCUUCAGCUUUUCCUAAACCGUGUUCCCAGUGUAUUUACAAUUUUUUUUGUACUCUUUGAGCUAGUUUACAUUUGGCAUAUUUAAACUAAUCUUUUUAGGGGG